UUUCGGAGCGUAAACUCCUUUUCUUGGGAAAGAAUUAUGACGGUACCCAAGGAAUAAGCACCGGCUAACUCCGUGCCAGCAGCCGCGGUAAUACGGAGGGUGCAAGCGUUACUCGGAAUCACUGGGCGUAAAGGACGCGUAGGCGGAUUAUCAAGUCUCUUGUGAAAUCUAACGGCUUAACCGUUAAACUGCUUGGGAAACUGAUAGUCUAGAGUAAGGGAGAGGCAGAUGGAAUUCUUGGUGUAGGGGUAAAAUCCGUAGAGAUCAAGAAGAAUACCCAUUGCGAAAGCGAUCUGCUGGAACUUAACUGACGCUAAUGCGUGAAAGCGUGGGGAGCAAACAGGAUUAGAUACCCUGGUAGUCCACGCCCUAAACGAUGUAUACUAGUUGUUGCUUCGCUAGUCGAGGCAGUAAUGCACCUAACGGAUUAAGUAUACCGCCUGGGGAGUACGGUCGCAAGAUUAAAACUCAAAGGAAUAGACGGGGACCCGCACAAGCGGUGGAGCAUGUGGUUUAAUUCGAAGAUACGCGAAGAACCUUACCCGGACUUGAUAUCUAACAAAUCAUCCAGAGAUGGAAGAGUGUCUGCUUGCAGAAAUGUUAAGACAGGUGCUGCACGGCUGUCGUCAGCUCGUGUCGUGAGAUGUUGGGUUAAGUCCCGCAACGAGCGCAACCCACGUCAUUAGUUGCUAACGGUUCGGCCGAGCACUCUAAUGAGACUGCCUUCGCAAGGAGGAGGAAGGUGUGGACGACGUCAAGUCAUCAUGGCCCUUAUGUCCGGGGCGACAC
rnacentral:rRNA from 1 species